AUUGAACGCUAGCGGGAUGCCUUACACAUGCAAGUCGAACGGAGUGGCGAACGGGUGAGUAAUGUAUCGGAACGUGCCCAGUAGUGGGGGAUAACUACGCGAAAGCGUAGCUAAUACCGCAUACUAUUGGAGCGGCCGAUACCGGCUUAGCUAGCUGCUGGGGUAACGGUUCACCAAGGCGUCGAUUCGUAGCUGGUUUGAGAGGAAGACCAGCCACACGCGGACGUAGACACGGCCCAGACUCCUGCGGAAGGCAGCAGAUGGGAAUUUUGGACAAGGGGGGAAACCCUGAACCAGCCUUCCCGCGUGGGCGAUGAAAGCCUUCGGGUUGUGAAGCACGGUUGGCAGGAAACCGGUACCUGCAGGAGAAGCACCGGCUAAUUACGUGCCAGCAGCCGCGGUAAUAC
rnacentral:rRNA from 1 species